rnacentral:misc_RNA from 1 species
UGGUUUGGGAGAUUCAGUGAAGUAAUACAGGAUUUUAGUAUGUAAAACAGUAAGUGUGAUUAUUCAAUAUUUUAUAGGCAGUGUAAGGCUAUCCGAAUUCUACUGAUAGUAUAUGUUGAUAAUGUUAUCACUGAGAGUGACUCUACAGCUUAAAUACUUCUUUUAGACCCAGUUUAAAAAAAAAAAGACUUGAGUCCACUCAAGUAUUUCUUGGUAUUGAAGUUAUGAGCAUAGUUACCAAAUUCAUCCACAUCCCCUAGGUUCCGCAUUCUGGAUCGCGAGCCCCAAAUCGCGGGAUGACUGUGUCCCAAAACGCUGGGAGACGCGUUCUGAAUCGUCAAAUUCUAGUCCACAAAUCAAAGGAGAAAAACAAAUGUAAGAAGAAGAAAAACAAUAAAUUUAAAGAAUUAUAAUUCAAAAUUUCAAAUGAUUGAUUUUCUUUGUUUUUAUUCUCAGUGCAAUAAGCUUCAAUUUCUAUGGGUGCUGAAUGCUUUCUGCCAUUGUUGGGAGAGCUUGCAACAAAAUGACAAAGACAAAAUCAAAAGUUCAUAACCAACAGAAUCAUCAUAAAGUGACAAUCUAAACAAAUUAC